rnacentral:rRNA from 1 species
UUGGCACCUCGAUGUCGGCUCAUCACAUCCUGGGGCUGUAGUAGGUCCCAAGGGUUGGGCUGUUCGCCCAUUAAAGUGGUACGCGAGCUGGGUUCAGAACGUCGGGAGACAGUUCGGUCCCUAUCCGUCGCAGGCGUAGGAAAUUUGAGAAGACCUGUCCUUAGUACGAGAGGACCGGGAUGGACGUACCUCUGGUGUACCAGUUGUUCUGCCAAGGGCAUGGCUGGGUAGCUAUGUACGGAAUGGAUAAGCGCUGAAAGCAUCUAAGCGCGAAGCCAACUUCAAGAUAAGAUUUCCCACCGCAAG